AGAGUCUCCGAAAGGAGGUACAUCAGAUAGAUACACAAUGGAGUGUUUCAUAUGAUAAAUUACGUUUUAAUUUUAUUAAUUACUUUGUUUAUUUCAGAAGCUGUGUGUUCACUGUUGGCACAUUGAAUGAUUGACAGCAUUGGAUAAAUAAUGCUCUAUUGGAUAAAUACGUAAAGUACCUUGGACAGCUGAGAUUGUGGUGUGGACAGCUGAGAUUGUGUUUUGGACAGCUGAGAUUGUGACUUGGACAGCUGAGAUUGUGGUGUGGACAGCUGAGAUUGGUGUGGACAGCUGAGAUUGUGGUGUUGACAUCUGAAAUUGUGAUUUGAAAAGCUGAGAUUGUGACUUGGACAGCUGAGAUUGUGCUGUGGACAGCUAAAAUUGUGGUGUGGAAUAAUGAUAUUGUGGUGUUGACAACAUAUUGUGGUGUGCACAUGUGAUAUUGUGGUGUGAUGGUUUAAAGUAGCAAAGGUAAAGAACGUUUGACAGCUUAGAUUGUGGUGUGGACAGCUGAUAUUGUGGUGUGGACAGCUGAGAUUGUCAUGUGGACUACUUAUAUUGUGGCUUGCAGAGCUGAUAUUGUGGUGUGAUGGUUUAAAGUACUAAAGAUUUAUUCCUUACUACCUUCCUGUCAACUAUAUCUUCCACAGCAUGAUUUAAUCUAGUCCCAAUCAUUGACUCUGGUUACCUCACCAGACGGUCCGUCCACAGAGUCACAAGCAACAGAUACUAAAACUCGGCAAAGUACAUGUACUUCAGUCUUCCAGAGGAUAUUGUUAACAAUGAUGAUUUGAUGUAAAAAAGAAAAUGUAUUUGAAUAGCUAUAUUUCUCUUGUGUCACUAAGGUGUCAAAGGUCAU